ACAAUUGCCAAUGAUCUGCUUCCCAGUGAGCACAACCUACAGUAUCAUCAGUGUAUUGGAGCUUGAUGAUUGAGGUUGGUGUGCUCUUGGUUUUGGCUCUGAUUUGGCUAAGAUUAAACAGUUUACUAUCCAUUUGGUAAUUCAGCUCCACUCCAACUGGAAGCUUAUUGGUGGUCAGAUAUAGCACUGUGGUAAGGAAUAUCAAGAAGAAUG